GUCCUGGUUUCAGUUAGGACAGAGUUAAUUUUCGUACUAGUAGCUGGUAGGACGCUAUGCUUUGGAUUAGGAUGAGAAGAGUGCUGAUAACAUGCUGAUACAUGAACUGAGUGCUAAUAACAGUGUAUUAA